rnacentral:rRNA from 1 species
CGGAGGAAAAGAAACCAACAGGGAUUGCCCCAGUAACGGCGAGUGAAGCGGCAAUAGCUCAAAUUUGAAAUCUGGCUCUUUUAGGGUCCGAGUUGUAAUUUGCAGAGGGCGCUUUGGCGUUGGCAGCGGUCCAAGUUCUUUGGAACAGGACGUCACAGAGGGUGAGAAUCCCGUACGUGGUCGCUAUCCUUCGCCGUGUAAAGCCCCUUCGACGAGUCGAGUUGUUUGGGAAUGCAGCUCUAAAUGGGAGGUAAAUUUCUUCUAAAGCUAAAUACUGGCCAGAGACCGAUAGCGCACAAGUAGAGUGAUCGAAAGAUGAAAAGCACUUUGGAAAGAGAGUCAAAUAGCACGUGAAAUUGUUGAAAGGGAAGCGCUUGCAGCCAGACUUGCCUGUAGUUGCUUAUCCAGACUUUUGUCUGGUGCACUCUUCUGCGGGCAGGCCAGCAUCAGUUUGGGCGGUUAGAUAAAGGUCUCUGUCAUGUACCUCUCUUCGGGGAGGCCUUAUAGGGGAGACGACAUGUAACCAGCCUGGACUGAGGUCCGCGCAUCUGCUAGGAUGCUGGCGUAAUGGCUGUAAGCGGCCCGUCUUGAAACACGGACCAAGGAGUCUAACAUCUAUGCGAGUGUUUGGGUGUCAAGCCCAGACGCGUAAUGAAAGUGAACGGAGGUAAGAACCCUUUGGGUGCAUUAUCGACCGAUCCUGAUGUCUUCGGAAGGAUUUGAGUAAGAGCAUGGCUGUUGGGACCCGAAAGAUGGUGAACUAUGCUUGAAUAGGGUGAAGCCAGAGGAAACUCUGGUGGAGGCUCGCAGCGGUUCUGACGUGCAAAUCGAUCGUCAAAUUUGGGCAUAGGGGCGAAAGACUAAUCGAACUAUCUAGUAGCUGGUUCCUGCCGAU